AUUGAACGCUGGCGGCAGGCAUAACACAUGCAAGUCGAACGAGUGGCGGACGGGUGAGUAAUGUCUGGGAAACUGCCUGAUGGAGGGGGAUAACUACUGGAAACGGUAGCUAAUACCGCAUACCAUCAGAUGUGCCAAGAUGGGAUUAGCUAGUUGGUGGGGUAACGGCUCACCAAGGCGACGAUCCCUAGCUGGUCUGAGAGGAUGACCCGCCACACUGGGACUGAGACACGGUCCAGAAUCCUAAGGGAGGCAGCAGGGGGGAAGUUUGCACAAUGGGCGCAAUCCUGAUGCAGCCAUGCCGCGUGUAUGAAGAAGGCCUUCGGGUUGUAAAGUACUUUCAGCGGGGAGGCGUUACCCGCAGAAGAAGCACCGGCUAACUCCGUGCCAGCAGCCGCGGUAAUUC
rnacentral:rRNA from 1 species